rnacentral:lncRNA from 1 species
UGCGGUUUAUUGAGUUAUAUUCAUUCAUUUCUUGCCAUGAAUUGUUGAAUUUGUGAAUGAUAAUCAUAUAAAGGGGUCAUUUACUACUCAGUGGUUUGUUUUGCAGAAAAGUGCGAGAAGGCACUAUAAACUUCAAGAUACGGACUAAGUGGCUAAGAGAACGAAGAAGAGGAGGAAGAAUGGAUUUGUGCAAGAAGAAACAAAGUAACCAGGGGGGCAACUUGAGAAGAGAGGGAUGUUCUUGCGAAGGAAGAAGGAAGCAGGAGGGCCAUUGUGCAAAUGGAAGAUCAGAUCGAGGGGUCAAAAUAUCUAGUCCAUCUCCAAUUCCCCUCGGGCCUGGCACAUCUCUCUCUCCCUCACCCUCCUUCUCCAACUCCGGCCGCCGCCACGGCCAGGCCGGCGUGGUGGUGCGCCUCCGCCUGCCAUCCAUCCACUAGCUCCACCGCGCCAUCUCCACCAGCCGCCGCUGCAUCAUCCACCAUCUCGCGCCCCCGAUGCUCUUCUCCUCCCCACGUCUGAACUGCUGCUACUCCACCUUUCUUCUUCCCCCAAAUUCUGCUGCUGCUCUCUCUCUAACCUCCCCACGCCUCUGCUUCUUCUUCUCCCUCUCCUUGCUGCUACUCCUUCCUCUCACGUCCCCCUGCUGCUGCUCUUCUUCUUGCGCCGAUCUGCUGCUGCUCUGCUUCCUCCACUAAACUGCUGCUACCUCUGCUUCUUCUCUUCCUACUGCUCCUUCUCCCUUCCCUCGCCUUGCUGCUGCUCCUCCACUUCUCAACUCGAACCAGUUGCUCCUCCUCCUUCCCUUGCCUCUUCUCAAUCUGCUGCUACUACUCUUCUCCUUACCUCGCUGCUGCACUUCUCCUUCUCCUAACCUUGCUGCUGUUCAUCUCUGAAUCCUCACCAUGCUGCUGCUCUCUCCCGCUCUAUUGCUCUUCUCUGAAUCCCGUACUGCUGCUGCUCCUUUCUCCAUGCCCCAGUUGCUGCUUCUUCUUUCUCUAAUCUCCUGCUGCCAUCUCUCUUUCUCCUUUUCUUCUCUGAAUUUUCUGUAGUUUGAGACGUCUAGUCUGUAACAUUCAGAUUCUAAGAGUACUUGCUUCCUGUACUAGUUACUUCUACUGUCUAUUUUUAGUUGUUCAAUACUACUCUGUUGAUCUGUGAUACUAGUCAAGUGGCUUGUUUAAUUUGUUUACUUGUGUAACCUGAAUCAUGGUGUAGUACCCUGUUCGCAUAUGUGUGCUUAUGUGUGUUCUGUAGUCCCUGUGUUAAUUACGUUCAUGUGAAAAUAUAUAUGUUUGUGUUGUGAUAUAUUUCUGUCUCUGUCUCUGUCAUAGCAUUCUUUCUUCCCCUUUGUUACUUGUAUGAUAGUAAUAUAUGUGUUUGUGUCCCAUAGCUUCCCUUUAUGUUAGUAUUUUAGCGUCUCUAGUAAAACAAAAAUACCAAAGAAAGUUAGUAAAAUCUGAAUCUACCUUUGCCUUUUUGCAUUUUCAUUGGCGACAUCUCCAUAGUUUAGGUUUAUUUUCUGUUCCCAUCAUCUGAAUUGUAUUACCUAGCUUUAGUCGAGCGUAGCCGCUGAUUGCCUAGUCCCUGCGGAGAACACGACAUCCGUAGUUUGGGGCGUAUAAGCCCGCUAUAUUAUAAUUGAUCAUUUUGGCGCCGUUGCCGGGGACUAGUGUCGAGUGACCGUGUUAGGCUAUAGACUAGGUUUUUCUUCUUUUUCUAUUUUGUGCCAUAUAUUUGUGAUAUAUCUCUAACUCCUAACCCUUGUUCCAGAUUAUUUCCUCUUUGUUUUCUUUUCCUUUUUAAAGGUUAGAACCAUCUUCUCGGACAUGGCUUACUAUUCAGAUCAUCAUGCUUAUGCGAGCAACACUACAAACAACACCGAAAGUAUUCAAGAACUGAUAAGUAAGAUUUCCCAUCAAUUAGAUGAUUUAGCUCGGCAGCGAGAAGUAGUUUUUGAGGAUAGACCUAGCUCUUAUGAUCCUUGUUCUAGAUUCCAUCCUUAUGUUGCUCCUACUUGCCAUAUUUGUGGAUUUCAGGGCCAUUCGCCCGCUGAAUGUCAGCGUGGUUACUCUCACACUCCAGAUUGUUUUGGCAUGAGCUUCGCUCAACAGCAUAGCUCAUACCAAAACAAUUACUCAUAUGGGUGGCCUGAAAACCCGAAUAUGUCAUAUAGAAGCAACAACCCUGAGAUCUCACCGUUUGCUUCUAGUAAUCAUAUGCAGGGAUUUAGGUAUGAAGAGGAGAGCCACAACUAUGCUCCACAACAGUCUUAUUCAGCUCCUAUUCAUAUACCUCAGCACCAGCAGAUGUUGCCAAUGGAGUUAAAUGGUCCUCCAUUUGGUCAACCAACACCUUCAACACAAGUGCCUACUCAAGAUGAGUUCGAUGACAUAGACAAGCUCGCACUUUUGAGUCUCGAGUUCACUUGGAGUGCCGAGGAUGAUCCUAUUAGGAAGGUUAUACUAGAUGAAAUGAAGAAGAUCAAGAGUGGGAAUGAGCUAGUGGAAGAAGUAAAGAAGAUUGAGAAGAACAUCAACGCUGGCAGUACUAUUUCUUCACAACUUGAUCUGAGUAAUUCUGGGAUUCCCCUUGAUACACGUGAGGUUCCAAUACCGUCACAUCUAGCUGAGCAAGAUAGCAAGUGCUUUGAGCAAGAGAUACCUCAGAUUGAAGAAGAUGAACUAGAAGACAAGGAACAAGAUGAUCAAGAUCUGCAAUUCCCAAGUGAUCAAGUUGAAGACUCGUCAUCUACUACUCCUGAAGAAGUAAAAGAAGCUGCUGUAGAUGAAGAUGAAGAACCUGAGAUUCAUUGGCCUAUUGUCAUACAUGAGCGUGAUGUGUCAGGUUUUCCCAAUCCUCUUGAUGACAUGCUCCCUUACGAUUUCGUUGCUUCUACCUUGCAUUACAUGAUACCGUCACUUAAGAUUGAUUUGAAAACUCAUUUGCUUGGAUAUGAUGAUAUAUACCCUGUUAGUGGCAUUACUCUCAUUUGUGAUGAUCAUAGUUACUUUCCUCGUGCUAGUCCUAUGCUUAAUGAAACAUAUCAUUCCCAUGCUAGUCUUGAGCUUAAUGAUAAAUAUCAUCCUCAUGUUAGUGUUGACCUUGCUGAUUUCUACCAUCCUAAACAUGUGCUUUAUAGCUAUGCUUAUGUAAUUGGAUAUUCGAUUGAUUACUUGGAGGGUAUUAUCCCUACCACUUGCAUUGCCUCUUUCGUUGGGUGUUCUUUCAGGUUCUUGCUUGUGCACGAUCCACUACAUGCUGACCAAGUUCGAGAUGACAUUCCCUGGGACCCCGGUGGACCUAUAGCAUGGGGAUGAGGAGAAGCAAGGAGCACACAUGAAGAGAGAAGCUGGAGCAGGCAUGAGGAUAGAGAAGCAAAAAGAGAAGAGUUGCAGUUCAGAGAGUGAUUGUGCGAGACCUACAUCAUAUAAGCCCGGUGAGCUGUUUCAUGACCCAUUCUGAGUAUAUCAUCCAUUGAUACAUGCUGAAAUCAAAUGUUAUUUGGGUUGCUUAAGCCAUGUCUUAAAUGUUGCCCCACUAAAUUUUAUUUGACAUAUGGUGCUUGAUGAGAAUAUGCGAACUGAUUGUUGAAUGCCAUGUAAACUAGUGAUCUACAUAUUGCUUGCUUUGCUGAAAUUAGUGAAAGUUAUUAGUUUUGAGUGCUCAAAUCCCUAGUACACUAGAAAACUUAAUCAUUUUCUGCUUUUACCUCGAUACACCUAGAUCACCACGUUUAGAUGUUGUAUUUGUGCCAAGUGUCUUCCCAUUGAGAGCAAUCACCUAACCACUAUGGAUUAGCAUGCUAUGUUCCCUGGAUCGGUAGCAUGUGAACCAGACAUGGAGAAGUGAUUAUUCCUGUUUUUGUUCUUAUGCGUUAUUCAUUUAUGAUAAGUAAUAAUGAAGAAAUAAGUCUGGCUACCUACAGUAGCAUGUCAUGUUCCCGGGAUCGGUGGCAUGUGAAAUCGGGUUAGCUUGGGCAGUAAUUAACAAUAAUAAAAAUGUAAUUGUCGAACCAGGUGUAUACCAUGUUCUUGGGAUCGGUGGUAUGUUCCUUUGGGGAGACAAACAAAAAAAACUAAUAAUUGGUUGAGCCAGGUGUAUACCAUGUUCUCGGGAUCGGUGGUAUGUUCCUUCGGUGAGACUAAUAAAAUAAUAUGUGUGUUUCUUUCAAAUUCAAUAAGUGGUUCAACCACAAAGUCAUAUUUCUGCAAAUAAGAGAUUUAAUUCUAGUUCUUUUUGUUCUCGGGAUCAUGCUCUCUUUAGGAACCAUUUGGCGCAGUCAUCAUUUAAACUUGUUGAUCCUCUUUUAUCACUGUAAAAGUUUAAAAUGGUCAUGCUUACUAGUAUCCUACUGCUUUGUAGCACUCCUAACCAUUAAUUUUCACUAGCUAAGUCUGAAGCAUGCCUUGUUUGGAGAUCUAUUUUACCAGGACAUUCCUUACUCAGUUUACUGUUCAUUAUCUUGCCUUUGUCAUAUUCUUUUGCUUGAGGACAAGCAAAGAUUUAAGUGUGGGGGAAAUUGAUCUACACAUUUCAUAUACAUCUUUUGGCUCUGAAAUAUGCGGUUUAUUGAGUUAUAUUCAUUCAUUUCUUGCCAUGAAUUGUUGAAUUUUGUGAAUGAUAAUCAUAUAAAGGGGUCAUUUACUACUCAGUGGUUUGUUUUGCAGAAAAGUGCGAGAAGGCACUAUAAACUUCAAGAUACGGACUAAGUGGCUAAGAGAACGAAGAAGAGGAGGAAGAAUGGACUUGUGCGAGAAGAAACAAAGUAACCAGGGGGCCAACUUGAGAAGAGAGGGAUGUUCUUGCGAAGGAAGAAGGAAGCAGGAGGGCCAUUGUGCAAAUGGAAGAUCAGAUUGAGGGGUCAAAAUCCCUAGUCCAUCUCCAAUUCCCCUCGGGCCUGGCACAUCUCUCUCUCCCUCACCCCUCCUUCUCCAACUCCGGCCGCCGCCACGGCCAGGCCGGCGUGGUGGUGCGCCUCCGCCUCCCAUCCAUCCACUAGCUCCACCGCGCCAUCUCCACCAGCCGCCGCUGCAUCAUCCACCAUCUCUCGCCCCCGAUGCUCUUCUCCUCCCCACGUCCAAACUGCUGCUACUCCACCUUUCUUCUUCCCCCAAAUUCUGCUGCUGCUCUCUCUCUAACCUCCCCACGCCUCUGCUUCUUCUUCUCCCUCUCCUUGCUGCUACUCCUUCCUCUCACGUCCCCCUGCUGCUGCUCUUCUUCUUGCGCCGAUCUGCUGCUGCUCUGCUUCCUCCACUAAACUGCUGCUACCUCUGCUUCUUCUCUUCCUACUGCUGCUUCUCCCUUCCCUCGCCUUGCUGCUGCUCCUCCACUUCUCAACUCGAACCAGCUGCUCCUCCUCCUUCCCUUGCCUCUUCUCAAUCUGCUGCUACUACUCUUCUCCUUACCUCGCUGCUGCACUUCUCCUUCUCCUAACCUUGCUGUUGUUCAUCUCUGAAUCCUCACCACGCUGCUACUCUCUCCCGCUCUAUUGCUCUUCUCUGAAUCCCGUACUGCUGCUGCUCCUUUCUCCAUGCCCCAGUUGCUGCUUCUUCUUUCUCUAAUCUCCUGCUGCCAUCUCUCUUUCUCCUUUUCUUCUCUGAAUUUUCUGUAGUUUGAGACGUCUAGUCUGUAACAUUCAGAUUCUAAGAGUACUUGCUUCCUGUACUAGUUACUUCUACUGUCUAUUUUUAGUUGUUCAAUACUACUCUGUUGAUCUGUGAUACUAGUCAAGUGGCUUGUUUAAUUUGUUUACUUGUGUAACCUGAAUCAUGGUGUAGUACCCUGUUCGCAUAUGUGUGCUUAUGUUUGUUCUGUAGUCCCUGUGUUAAUUACGUUCAUGUGAAAAUAUAUAUGUUUGUGUUGUGAUACAUUUCUGUCUCUGUCUCUGUCAUAGCAUUCUUUCUUCCCCUUUGUUACUUGUAUGAUAGUAAUAUAUGUGUUUGUGUCCCAUUGCUUCCCUUUAUGUUAGUGUUUUAGUGUCUCUAGUAAAACAAAAAUACCAAAGAAAGUUACUAAAAUCUGAAUCUACCUUUGCCCUUUUUGCAUUUUCAUUGGCGACAAUCUUCAUAGUUUAGGUUUAUUUUCUGUUCCCAUCAUCUGAAUUGUAUUACCUAGCUUUAGUCGAGCGUAGCCGCUGAUUGCCUAGUCCCUGUGGAGAACACGACAUCCGUAGUUUGGGGCGUAU